GACUUGUGCCUCACUUCCUGUUUAUGUGCCUUUGUAGCAGAGACGGUAUGGAAAUUCCAUUCCUCCAUUAUCUCUGUUGUAGCUAGCUGAUGAAAUGGCGCUUGCUACUGAAGUUUAGUUAGCCCAUUUUUUCCUAUGGCUUAAAGCUAGCUAUGUUAUAUAAGUGUUUCUACUUCUUUAUUAUGUAUUUAAACACAUUGGUCGACAAGACGAGGCCAUGAAGGUCAGACAGCAUGGUUGUUCAGGAGAGGAUUUUAAAACCGACACUGUUGAUUGGCCAGACAGCAACGGUACCACUGAACAACGUUAGCAAGUGAGUGAAGUGUCAGUGGGCCUGCCGCGUGAAUACAAAGAUGACAGUUGUUCCCUGAGGAUGGAAAGGGACGGGUCUGUGAAGCACGAGACUAGAAGUGUUGGCUCCUAUAGCGAGGAAGAGAAGAAGCUGUUUGCUGCCAUGGUGUUUGAGAAGGGGGAACUGGAGCUGACUGGCUCUCUGGUAAUGGAGGUGACUGAGGAUCUACAGUACAGUGAUGCAGACACUGCACCCAACAGGGAGGAAAGGGCUCUGUACCUAGAGGAGGAAAAAGGAGAUGAGAGACAGACAGAUGAAGGGACUGCCCAGCAGAGAGGAGCAGCAGGCUAAUGCGGAGCGAGGGAGAGAUGGAGCGCAAGAGACGGAGCGAGCGAGAGACGGAGCGAGCGAGCGAGAGCGAGCGAGCAAAAUACUAAAGUAUUUAGUCAGCCACCAAUUGUGCAGGUUCUCCCACUUAAAAAGAUGAGAGAGGCCUGUAAUUUUCAUCAUAGGUACACUUCAACUGUGACAGACAAAAUGAGGGAAAAAAAUCUAGAAAAUCACAUUGUAGGAUUUCUAAUGAAUUUAUUUGCAAAUUAUGGUGGAAAAUAAGUAUUUGGUCAAUAACAAAAGUUUAUCUCAAUAAUUUGUUAUAUACCCUUUGUUGGCAAUGACAGAGGUCAAACAUUUUCUGUAAGUCUUCACAAGGUUUUCACACACUGUUGCUGGUAUUUUGGCCCAUUCCUCCAUACAGAUCUCCUCUAGAGCAAUGAUGUUAUGGGGCUGUUGCUGGGAAACACGGACUUUCAACUCCCUCCAAAUAUUUUCUAUGGGGUUGAGAUCUGGAGACUGGUUAGGCCACUCCAGGACCUUGAAAUGCUUCUUACGAAGCCACUCCUUCGUUGCCUGGGCGGUGUGUUUGGGAUCAUUGUAAUGCUGAAAGACCCAGCCACGUUUCAUCUUCAAUGCCCUUGCUGAUGGAAGGAGGUUUUCACUCAAAAUCUCACAAUACAUGGCCCCAUUCAUUCUUUCCUUUACACUGAUCAGUCGUCCUGGUCCCUUUGCAGAAAAACAGCCCCAAAGUAUGAUGUUUCCACCCCCAUGCUUCACAGUAGGUAUGGUGUUCUUUGGAUGCAACUCAGCAUUUUGGUUUCAUCUGACCAUAUGACAUUCUCCCAAUCUUCUUCUGGAUCAUCCAAAUGCUCUCUAGCAAACUUCAGACGGGCCUGGACAUGUACUGGCUUAAGCAGGGGGACAUGUCUGGCACUGCAGGAUUUGAGUCCCUGGCGGCGUAGUGUGUUACUGAUGGUAGGCUUUGUUACUUUGGUCCCAGCUCUCUGCAGGUCAUUCACUAGGUCCCCCCGUGUGGUUCUGGGAUUUUUGCUCACCGUUCUUGUGAUCAUUUUGAUCCCACGGGGUGAGAUCUUGCGUGGAGCCCCAGAUCGAGGGAGAUUAUCAGUGGUCUUGUAUGUCUUCCAUUUCAUAAUAAUUGCUCCAACAGUUGAUUUCUUCAAACCAAGCUGCUUACCUAUUGCAGAUUCAGUCUUCCCAGCCUGGUGCAGGUCUACAAUUUUGUUUCUGGUGUCCUUUGACAACUCUUUGGUCUUGGCCAUAGUGGAGUUUGGAGUGUGACUGUUUGAGGUUGUGGACAGGUGUCUUUUAUACUGAUAACAAGUUCAAAGAGGUGCCAUUAAUACAGGUAACGAGUGGAGGACAGAGGAGCCCCUUAAAGAAGAAGUUACAGGUCUGUGAGAGCCAGAAAUCUUGCUUGUUUGUAGGUGACCAAAUGCUUAUUUUCCACCAUAAUUUGCAAAUACAUUCAUAAAAAAAUCCUACAAUGUGAUUUUCUGGAUUUUCUUUCUCAUUUUGUCUGUCAUAGUUGAAGUCUACCUAUGAUGAAAAUUACAGGCCUCUCUCAUCUUUUUAAGUGGGAGAACUUGCACAGUUGGUGGCUGACUAAAUACUUUUUUGCCCCACUGUAUAUGUGGACACUGCUGUUGAAAAGCUGGAUACAUUAUCAUCACCACCCCAGAGAGAACCAGAUCAGAACCAGGAGCCACCUACUGGUGUCAUUUAAAAAAAGUCUUAUCGGUUUUGUCAUGACCAUAAUGUUUUGGCUUUGAACAUUUCUUAGAACUCUUGAGGCUGUUGAAUAUGUUACAAAGAAUUUCCUCCCCACAGAUGUUAUUGGCUGAUAUAUUGCAUAUUGAGUUCUCCUGGCUGGACCGGCCCACUACUUAAGAAGCACAGAGAUAAACUUAUCUUGGAUAUAACCAGCGAGGAAGCAAGAGGCUUGACUCCGCUCUAAAGUCUGUCAGUGCGAAAAUACAAUGUUAACCAGUGGGAGUGGGGAUUUUCUUUUAGGGAGGUCAAUGAGAGAAUGUGGAAUUUGGUCAACAGUUAAAUAAAGGUUACAUACAACAACAACAAAAAACAUCAAAUUACAUUUCUAAUUUGCUGCAAUGUUUCAUUUGAUCGAAUUUAAGUUUCAUCAUGUUUAUGUUGAUACGAAUUUACUGAUAAGUGGGUGCAUGUGGCAUUUCGGGAACUUGGAUAAAUUUUUUUUAUAAUGGAGUUGUGCUUGUUGUUCUCACACAUAUCUGCCCUCUCAUUGGCUAGAAUGUUUAUUUAGUCAUUUAUUUUACCCCCAGUCCAGUUGUGGGCGACACUUUACCUUUUGAGUGUAGUUCGCCAUAAAACCCAAAGAAGAAUACAUAGCUCUUGCUCUGUGCCUACAUUCCCACACAGUAGUUGGCGACAUGCACUUUUUAAAAUAUUUUUUUUAUUAACAAAUCAAUACAUAAAGCACAUGAGGGAACACAAGCAUACAUAGAUUACAAACAAUGGACAAUCGAGCUAGGGGGUACAAUAUCACAUUACAAUUACACAAGGACCUUAAGGGACAUGCAUAUACUUACAAUUCUAAAGGCUUUUUUGUUAGUAGAGCAUUUAACCGUUUUAAAAUACAGUUCAAUUUCUUUUUGUAGGGUAUGAAAAUGUGGUUUUCUGUUCGUAAAUUUAAAUUUGUGUAUACGAAAUUUGGCCAAAAGUAUAAUGAAAUUAAUUACAUAAAAAUGAUUCCGCUUAUUUCUAUUGUAUGUAAAGAAUCCAAUAAAGUACAUCUCUCCACAAUAGUGUAAAAUCUUCAUAAAAGUGUUCAAUUAUAAACCUACUGAUAUCUUGCCACAGUUUUCUUACAUGCAUACAAUGCCAAAAAAGAUGCACAACUGUUUCUGGGUGGUCAUUACAAAAGGAGCAAUUUGAGUUGAUGUUUUCCUUAAACUUCUUCAUAUAGUGGUUGGCAGGAUAAUAUUUAUGAAUAAUUUUAAAGGAAA